rnacentral:rRNA from 1 species
UACGUAGGGUGCGAGCGUUAAUCGGAAUUACUGGGCGUAAAGCGUGCGCAGGCGGUUUGUUAAGUCCGCUGUGAAAGCCCCGGGCUCAACCUGGGAAUGGCGGUGGGAACUGGCGAGCUAGAGUGUAGCAGAGGGGGGUGGAAUUCCACGUGUAGCAGUGAAAUGCGUAGAGAUGUGGAGGAACACCAAUGGCGAAGGCAGCCCCCUGGGUUAACACUGACGCUCAGGCACGAAAGCGUGGGGAGCAAACAGG